AACGAACGCUGGCGGCAGGCCUAACACAUGCAAGUCGAGCGAGGACUUCGGUUCUAGCGGCGGACGGGUGAGUAACGCGUGGGAAUGUGCCCUUCUCUACGGAAUAGCCCUGGGAAACUGGGAGUAAUACCGUAUACGCCCUUUUGGGGAAAGAUUUAUCGGAGAAGGAUCAGCCCGCGUUGGAUUAGGUAGUUGGUGGGGUAAUGGCCUACCAAGCCGACGAUCCAUAGCUGGUUUGAGAGGAUGAUCAGCCACACUGGGACUGAGACACGGCCCAGACUCCGACGGGAGGCAGCAGUGGGGAAUCUUAGACAAUGGGGGCAACCCUGAGCUAGCCAUGCCGCGUGAGUGAUGAAGGCCUUAGGGUUGUAAAGCUCUUUCAGCUGGGAAGAUAAUGACGGUACCAGCAGAAGAAGCCCCGGCUAACUCCGU
rnacentral:rRNA from 1 species